UAUAUCAAAUAAGCAUAAGUAGUAGUAAAAUUUGAAGGAUUGCUUUGGUCCAAUGAUAGAACAUCUAUCAUGUUUACUGAUGUGGGUUCAAGUCCU